CUCCAAAUGGCAUAGGGCAGUGACCAUAGCAUGGAAUGUGGUUUGGAGCCCAGACUGACCCCUCCCCCUACCCCAGGUGGCCAUCCAGCUCAAUGACACCCACCCCUCCCUGGCCAUCCCCGAGCUGAUGAGGAUCCUGGUGGACCUGGAACGGAUGGACUGGGACAAGGCGUGGGAUGUGACAGUGAGGACCUGUGCCUACACCAACCACACGGUGCUGCCCGAGGCCCUGGAGCGCUGGCCGGUGCACCUCUUGGAGACGCUGCUGCCGCGGCACCUCCAGAUCAUCUACGAGAUCAACCAGCGCUUCCUCAACCGGGUGGCGGCC
rnacentral:lncRNA from 1 species